GGCAACAGUAUAGACAGUGCUAUUUUUCUAGGAGAAGAGAAGAGUUUGGAUUUGAUAUCCCGCUUUAUCACUACCCUUGGGAGUCUCAAAGCGGCUAACAUUCUCCUUUCCCUUCCUCCCCCACAACAAACACUCUGUGAGGUGAGUGGGGCUGAGAGACUUCAGAGAAGUGUGACUGGCCCAAGGUCACCCAGCAGCUGCAUGUGGAGGAGCAGGGAAGCGAACCUGGUUCAUCAGAUCACGAGUCUACCGCUCUUAACCACUACACCACACUGGCUCUCUAGGGGGAAAAGGCGCUGGAACUCACCAUGAAAAGCUUCCUUGUUCUCUUAGAAUGACAAUGGUGCCCACCUGAGAGGUGCUGGAACUGAGUUCUGGUGAGUUCUGGCUGGAAAAAAACAACAACAAAAGUUAUUAAAAUAUAAAGUACCCCUUAUUCCACAUCAUCGCUGUCAUUUGGGGAUAGUCUCCAGCUCAGUAGUAGCACAUAGCUUGCAUUCAGAAAAUCCCAGGUUCGUUCGCAAGAAUUGACAGGCAAGGCUGGAUUUGAGACCCUGGAGAGCCCCUGCCAGUCUGUGUAGACAAUACUGAGUUAGAUGGAUCGAUGCUCUGAUUCAGAGUAAGGCAACUCCCCAUGUUUCUAUUAAAGAAAUGUGGUUGUCUUCAGCAUUGAUCUGGUUGAACUCUCUUACUACUUACUGUAUACGCAUCCUGAUGUUCCUUUGGCAGUCCAAAAGGAUGUUCCUCCGUUUCCCCAAAGACUAAUGUCAAGGGGCAAGUGUACACGUGCUCUGCUUGCUGACCUCCUCGGUGACACAGUUUUUUAACUAUCAGGUAUUGAUUUACUCUGCUUUCUAAGGCACAGUUCCUGCAUUGCCUGCUACUGAAUAGCAAGUGCACCUGCACUAAAAUAUCUAGCCAAGGACUGUUUUGUUACAGAACUGGAAACUUGACAGUGGCGACUGGGAACAGUUAUCAUGGCCAUAUUUCGAUCGGGUGCAAAAGAAUCAGAAGAAGCAGCAGCAGAGGAUACAUAACAGUGCCAUAAAGCAUUAUGUGCCCUGAAACUAGUAGAAGGAAAUAUUGUUAAUCUAGCAAGAUGACAAGAUAAGUCCCAGGUCUUUAAGUGUUGUGCACCCUUGGAAAAUCUCUAUUUUAGGAUCCUUUUAUCUUGCUUUAAUUGUCCAUCAAUGUUUGUGUUUAGAUUUAUUAUGAAUAAAGCAUUGGCCCUUAAUCUAUGGGUUGCCGGACAUCGGUCUUGCACUUCUUGCAAUGGUAUAGCAAGAUAUCAAGCGGAACAAUAUUUCACGUUGAGCAUUUGAAAAAUGAAUCCAUCAGCCAAAACAGAGCUUAAGUACUUGAUUUGUAAAUUGCGUGGCAUGAUUUUAUCUCACAUACAAAUUAGGGACAUAUGCAGCAACAUCUAUCAAAGCUUUGCCUCAGAUUAUAGAAAAGAGACUAAUUACAAACUGUGAUAUUAUGAUGAAGUAUACGGAACGUCUCCAAGUUGCCAAUAGAUCUUACAAAUAUGCUUACCUAAACAUAUUACCUUCUGUUAGUAAUUACAAGAUGUAACUCUAUUUUGUUUUUGUCGUUUUCUGUUUUUGUAUUUUGGGUAUUGCUGGCAACCCUGAGAAGGAAGAGUGUUUGGAAGAACUGGACGGAAAAAAUGUUUUUAACUGCAGCUGCUUUUAGAUGUUCUUAAUUUAUAAUUGUUUUUAGAACGUUUUAAACUGUUUUAAAAUGCUUUGGUUUUUUGUAUUUAAUUUGCUUAUCUGUUUGCCACCUUAAGCUCCUUGGGGAAGAAAGGCAGGAUGGAGAAUCAAAAAAUAGUAGUCGUAAUAAUAAUAAUUUUAUUAUUCUUAUUAUUUAUAAGUUGCCAAUCUGGCUGGGUUUCCCCAGCCACUCUGGGUGGCUUCCAACAGAAUAUAAAAACAUAAUCAUGUAUGUUUUGCUGAGUGCUACCAACUGGUGUAUGAAGAAUGAUCACCUUCACAUGUUGUGCUAAAGUGGCGUUUGGGGUUUUCCUUUUAAGACCAUGAACUUUUCCUAACUAUGUUGAGGAGAGUGGAGAAAUGUUGACUUUAUAAGUGAACAUGGG